rnacentral:rRNA from 1 species
GACGAAGGGGGCUAGCGUUGUUCGGAAUUACUGGGCGUAAAGCGAGUGUAGGUGGUUUUCCAAGUUGGAUGUGAAAGCCUUGGGCUUAACCCAAGAAAUGCAUUCAGGACUGGAAGACUAGAGGACCGGAGAGGAUAGUGGAAUUCCCAGUGUAGUGGUGAAAUACGUAGAGAUUGGGAAGAACACCAGUGGCGAAGGCGGCUCACUGGCCCAUAACUGACGCUGAGGCACGAAAGCGUGGGGAGCAAACAGG